rnacentral:misc_RNA from 1 species
CGAAAUGCGAUAAGUAAUGUGAAUUGCAGAAUCCAGUGAAUCAUCGAAUCUUUGAACGCACCUUGCGCCCCUUGGUAUUCCGAGGGGCAUGCCUGUUUGAGUGUCAUUAACAUAUCAACCCUUAUUGGAUUUUUCAUUGUUCAGCAAGGCGUUGGAUUUGGAGCGUGUUGGCCACCUUUGUUAAAAGUGGGUCGACUCCUCUUAAAAGCAUUAGUGGUCGCGGCAACGUGGAUCGACCUUUCUGUUGGUGUGAUAAGUAUCUACGCCUUCGACAAAGGUCGUCAACCAUCGUUGUUUUAAGCCUGCUUAUAACAGUCCUCGGACAACGUCAUUUUGACUUCUCUUGACCUCAAAUCAGGUAGGACUACCCGCUGAACUUAAGC